UACGGGAGGUAGCAGUGGGGAAUAUUGCACAAUGGGCGCAAGCCUGAUGCAGCCAUGCCGCGUGUAUGAAAAAGGCCUUCGGGUUGUAAAGUACUUUCAGUCGUGAGGAAGGUGUUAAGGUUAAUAACCUUAGCAAUUGACGUUAGCGACAGAAGAAGCACCGGCUAACUCCGUGCCAGCAGCCGUGGUAAUACGGAGGGUGCGAGCGUUAAUCGGAAUUACUGGGCGUAAAGGGCACGCAGGCGGUUAAUUAAGUUGGAUGUGAAAUCCCCGGGCUUAACCUGGGAAUGGCAUUCAAGACUGGUUAGCUAGAGUCUUGUAGAGGGGGUAGAAUUCCAUGUGUAGCGGUGAAAUGCGUAGAGAUGUGGAGGAAUACCGGUGGCGAAGGCGGGCCCCUGGACAAAGACUGACGCUCAUGUGCGAAAGCGUGGGGAGCAAACGAGGGAUUAGAUACC
rnacentral:rRNA from 1 species